UGCCUAAUACAUGCAAGUAGAACGCUGAAGAGAGGAGCUUGCUCUUCUUGGAUGAGUUGCGAACGGGUGAGUAUCGCGUAGGUAACCUGCCUUGUAGCGGGGGAUAACUAUUGGAAACGAUAGCUAAUACCGCAUAACAAUGGAUGACACAUGUCAUUUAUUUGAAAGGGGCAAAUGCUCCACUACAAGAUGGACCUGCGUUGUAUUAGCUAGUAGGUGAGGUAACGGCUCACCUAGGCGACGAUACAUAGCCGACCUGAGAGGGUGAUCGGCCACACUGGGACUGAGACACGGCCCAGACUCCUACGGGAGGCAGCAGUAGGGAAUCUUCGGCAAUGGGGGCAACCCUGACCGAGCAACGCCGCGUGAGUGAAGAAGGUUUUCGGAUCGUAAAGCUCUGUUGUAAGUCAAGAACGAGUGUGAGAGUGGAAAGUUCACACUGUGACGGUAGCUUACCAGAAAGGGACGGCUAACUACGUGCCAGCAGCCGCGGUAAUACGUAGGUCCCGAGCGUUGUCCGGAUUUAUUGGGCGUAAAGCGAGCGCAGGCGGUUUGAUAAGUCUGAAGUUAAAGGCUGUGGCUCAACCAUAGUUCGCUUUGGAAACUGUCAAACUUGAGUGCAGAAGGGGAGAGUGGAAUUCCAUGUGUAGCGGUGAAAUGCGUAGAUAUAUGGAGGAACACCGGUGGCGAAAGCGGCUCUCUGGUCUGUAACUGACGCUGAGGCUCGAAAGCGUGGGGAGCGAACAGGAUUAGAUACCCUGGUAGUCCACGCCGUAAACGAUGAGUGCUAGGUGUUGGAUCCUUUCCGGGAUUCAGUGCCGCAGCUAACGCAUUAAGCACUCCGCCUGGGGAGUACGACCGCAAGGUUGAAACUCAAAGGAAUUGACGGGGGCCCGCACAAGCGGUGGAGCAUGUGGUUUAAUUCGAAGCAACGCGAAGAACCUUACCAGGUCUUGACAUCCCGAUGCUAUUUCUAGAGAUAGAAAGUUACUUCGGUACAUCGGUGACAGGUGGUGCAUGGUUGUCGUCAGCUCGUGUCGUGAGAUGUUGGGUUAAGUCCCGCAACGAGCGCAACCCCUAUUGUUAGUUGCCAUCAUUCAGUUGGGCACUCUAGCGAGACUGCCGGUAAUAAACCGGAGGAAGGUGGGGAUGACGUCAAAUCAUCAUGCCCCUUAUGACCUGGGCUACACACGUGCUACAAUGGUUGGUACAACGAGUUGCGAGUCGGUGACGGCAAGCUAAUCUCUUAAAGCCAAUCUCAGUUCGGAUUGUAGGCUGCAACUCGCCUACAUGAAGUCGGAAUCGCUAGUAAUCGCGGAUCAGCACGCCGCGGUGAAUACGUUCCCGGGCCUUGUACACACCGCCCGUCACACCACGAGAGUUUGUAACACCCGAAGUCGGUGAGGUAACCUUUUGGAGCCAGCCGCCUAAGGUGGGAUAGAUGAUUGGGCU
rnacentral:rRNA from 1 species